rnacentral:tRNA from 2 species
GGGGAUGUGGCUCAGUGGUAAAAGCACUUGUGUGAGGCUCUGAGUUCAAUCCCCAGCACCGCCA